UACGUAGGGCGCGAGCGUUGUCCGGAAUUAUUGGGCGUAAAGAGCUCGUAGGCGGUUUGUUGCGUCGGAUGUGAAAGCCCGGGGCUUAACCCCGGGUCUGCAUUCGAUACGGGCAGACUGGAGUGUGGUAGGGGGAGAUCGGAAUUCCUGGUGUAGCGGUGAAAUGCGCAGAUAUCAGGAGGAACACCGGUGGCGAAGGCGGAUCUCUGGGCCAUUACUGACGCUGAGGAGCGAAAGCGUGGGGAGCGAACAGG
rnacentral:rRNA from 1 species